rnacentral:rRNA from 1 species
UGGUGCUUGCACCGAGCGGAUGAGUUGCGAACGGGUGAGUAACGCGUAGGUAACCUGCCUCUUAGCGGGGGAUAACUAUUGGAAACGAUAGCUAAUACCGCAUAAAAGUCGACAUUGCAUGAUGUUGACUUGAAAGGUGCAAUUGCAUCACUAAGAGAUGGACCUGCGUUGUAUUAGCUAGUUGGUGAGGUAACGGCUCACCAAGGCGACGAUACAUAGCCGACCUGAGAGGGUGAUCGGCCACACUGGGACUGAGACACGGCCCAGACUCCUACGGGAGGCAGCAGUAGGGAAUCUUCGGCAAUGGGGGCAACCCUGACCGAGCAACGCCGCGUGAGUGAAGAAGGUUUUCGGAUCGUAAAGCUCUGUUGUAAGAGAAGAACGAGUGUGAGAGUGGAAAGUUCACACUGUGACGGUAACUUACCAGAAAGGGACGGCUAACUACGUGCCAGCAGCCGCGGUAAUACGUAGGUCCCGAGCGUUAUCCGGAUUUAUUGGGCGUAAAGCGAGCGCAGGCGGUUAGAUAAGUCUGAAGUUAAAGGCUGUGGCUUAACCAUAGUACGCUUUGGAAACUGUUUAACUUGAGUGCAGAAGGGGAGAGUGGAAUUCCAUGUGUAGCGGUGAAAUGCGUAGAUAUAUGGAGGAACACCGGUGGCGAAAGCGGCUCUCUGGUCUGUAACUGACGCUGA